rnacentral:lncRNA from 1 species
AUAGUGGUUGGUUUGGGGGAGGGAUGUGGGGAGAUCGGACAAGGUAAGCAUUUAAUAUUUAAUUUCACACCAUUCUGUUCUGUUACUUUUAUUUUUUUUUACCUUGAGCAUAUACUAAUAUAAAAGUAAAUAUUUAAGAAACUAGAUAAGUUUUAACAGUACAAAAUUGAAGUAUCACUUAUCGGGGACAGUGGACCCAGGAAGCCUGCUGUGAGGCAGGACUGAGCGAGGGUGGUUGAGUUGAAACUUGAGGUGGGAAGUCUGUGAGCCUGGGGAGGUGCAGAGGGGAGGACCAAAGGGAGGGCACUGCUCUACUUCCUCAUUACCAGCCCAUUUCAAGACAGGUAAUCUUGGGGAAAAAGGCCUCUUAUGGCAGUGUAUCUUAAAAUGGAAAUUACCUUGAACAGAUUGUUAAAAAUAAAGUCUUGACCCUAUUUUAGAAUAUCUGGAGAGAAAGCUUUAGAAAUGGGCCCUAGGACUAUGCACUUUCAACAUGUUUCCAGUUGAUUCAUUGGCAAAGUGAAGUUUGAAACAGUAGGUAUUAGGGCCUUUGAUGGAGAGUGAAAUAGAAUCAUACCUAUCAUUGAAUUCCAUAUUACUGGGGUGGCUGGCCCCCUGGAGGUGGUGGUCCCUGGGGCCCUCCAGGAGGAGGUGGGGGAGGAGGAUUUUGAUUGCCUUGUGGUCUGGGUGGUGGUCCCUGGGGCCCUCCAGGAGGAGGUGGGGGAGGAGGAUUUUGAUUGCCUUGUGGUCUGGGUGGUUGCUGCUGGGGAGCAUCCUUAGAAGGGGAUCUUACUGGAUGUCUUCCUCUUUGGGGUCCUCUCUGCUCAGGAGCAUCCUGUUGGUCUCCAUCAGCAGGAGGGGCUGGAGGUGGGGGUCCUGCUGGUGGGGGUGGUGGUCCCUGGGGCCCUCCAGGAGGAGGUGGGGGAGGAGGAUUUUGAUUGCCUUGUGGUCUGGGUGGUUGCUGCUGGGGAGCAUCCUUAGAAGGGGAUCUUACUGGAUGUCUUCCUCUUUGGGGUCCUCUCUGCUCAGGAGCAUCCUGUUGGUCUCUAUCAGCAGGAGGGGCUGGAGGUGGGGGUCCUGCCGGUGGGGGUGGUGGUCCCUGGGGCCCUCCAGGAGGAGGUGGGGGAGGAGGAUUUUGAUUGCCUUGUGGUCUGGGUGGUUGCUGCUGGGGAGCAUCCUUAGAAGGGGAUCUUUCUGGGCGUCUUCCUCUUUGGGGUCCUCUCUCCUCAGGAGCAUCCUGUUGGUCUCCAUCAGCAGGAGGGGCUGGAGGUGGAGGUCCUGCUGGUGGGGGUGGUGGUCCCUGGGGCCCUCCAGGAGGAGGUGGGGGAGGAGGAUUUUGAUUGCCUUGUGGUCUGGGUGGUUGCUGCUCAGGAGCAUCCCCUAGGUUUACAUCCUCUGAAGGGGGUCUAGGUGGGCGUCCUACAGGAGGUGGUCUUCCUCCAGGAGGUGGUCUCUGAGGCUCUUGCUCUUGGCUCUGGCUUGAGUUAUCUUCAUCUGCAAGGGUAUGACAGAAGAAUAGAUGAGCUUAGUGAUCGAAUUCUCCCCUUUCCUUUUCAUUUCUGAUGACCUUUUCCAACACCCUUUUUUCUCAGAGCCUGCCUCCUAACUUCCAACCUCACUCCUGUCCACAGCUCCCUUAUGCAGUAAAAUCUUAAUGUGCACACCAGUGAUAUGGAAAUGCUAGUUCUUUGCUCCUGAGACAAACAUGUGACUUUGAGUUUGAUGAAGCAGCAGUUCUUAGAUAUCUUAAAAUUCCCAGAGAAUGUCUCCAAAGGCAGAGUAAAAGAAAAGUGAUUAUUAAUUUCACUUAUAUUGCCAGUUUUAUUUCGAGCCACUGACAUAACUUGCCAACUGUGACUCCCAGUCUGGCCACUUGGGCUCCAUGGGGGAACCUCAGGCUGAAAGACCCAGGUAGAGAAAUACUAAGAGAGAGAGAGACAGUGAUGGCCCACACAGGAUUCACUAAAGAUCUGUGGCAAAUUGUUAUUGGCCGCAGGGACACAGUCAAGUGCAGAAACAUGGAGAAAAGGGAGCCAGAUCCUUAUUUCUUUGCAUUUCUUGUUAGACCACAGGUUUAUAGAGAGGAACACUGGGGAAGAAGGAAAAAACCUAGGGGUUGGUUUUCAGUAGGAUGAAGGAGUCAGAAUUAAGACUUCUGCCCUUUUUCUGUCACCUCUCAGCAGUCAUUCCGGGCCUGAGGGAACAGGCAGCACACUCCUGUUGUCAUCCAGGCCAGAGACAUCUCUGUUAUUCAAGUUGGGGACCUGCUCUUGGUUCCCAGAAUUAAGGUUGGUUAAAGGAUGGCCUAUUUCUCUAGGGUACUAACAUUAAUCAAUAUUUGACAAGAAAAUGAUGAUAAUAAAACAUUGGAGAAUUGAAAAAUUCUUGAGAAA